rnacentral:rRNA from 1 species
UGACGUGGGGGAACCUGACAGCCUUCCGCGUGUGCGAUGAAGGCCUUCGGGUUGUAAAGCUCUUUUGUCAGGGAAGAAACAGCAGCUCUAACACAGCUGUGAAUGACGGUACCUGAAGAAUAAGCACCGGCUAACUACGUGCCAGCAGCCGCGGUAAUACGUAGGGUGCAAGCGUUAAUCGGAAUUACUGGGCGUAAAGCGUGCGCAGGCGGUUAUACAAGACAGGCGUGAAGUCCCCGGGCUUAACCUGGGAAUUGCGUCUGUGACUGUAUAGCUAGAGUGUGUCAGAGGGGGGUAGAAUUCCACGUGUAGCAGUGAAAUGCGUAGAUAUGUGGAGGAAUACCAAUGGCGAAGGCAGCCCCCUGGGACAACACUGACGCUCAUGCACGAAA